rnacentral:misc_RNA from 1 species
AGAACACAAAAUCGAAAUGAUAAAAGCACCCCGAAGUGAGAGGAAAAUAUAGAAAGAAGAAAAAUGGCAAGCAUGAGAGGUAAAAGCUAUAUAUAAGAGUUAGAAUAGAGCAUUAAAUGCACAAUAUCAGAUCUUAUCCACCAAAACAACAGGGAAAGAAACGAGGUGACAGUUCAGUUUUCCAGGACAACUAAGAGGUAUGAUUGAGUGAGAUAGUUAUUCCUUCAAUUAACGAAAUCUUUU